CAGUAGCCACGGUAAUACAGAGGGUGCGAGCGUUAAUCGGAUUUACUGGGCGUAAAGCGUGCGUAGGCGGCUUCUUAAGUCGGAUGUGAAAUCCCUGAGCUUAACUUAGGAAUUGCAUUCGAUACUGGGAAGCUAGAGUAUGGGAGAGGAUGGUAGAAUUCCAGGUGUAGCGGUGAAAUGCGUAGAGAUCUGGAGGAAUACCGAUGGCGAAGGCAGCCAUCUGGCCUAAUACUGACGCUGAGGUACGAAAGCAUGGGGAGCAAACAGGAUUAGAUACCCCGGUAGUCCCUGUCUCUUAUAA
rnacentral:rRNA from 1 species